GGCUCCCAACCAUUGUAGCCCACAGUUAUUUCAGUAAACCUGUGCCUCUCUCUAGGGCACUCACCACUGACCAGGAAGUCAUCACUUCCAAGGUCCCAGGGCCUCAUAGCAGCACCGACUGACGGCUCAUACCAAAGUCUGUCUUUUCUGACAGCGCUGGUAGAGACCCUCCACAUGACCUGUCAGCUGCCUAGGAACAGGAACCACUGUUUAGAGAUCCCAGAGACGGACUGCUUCCUGAAAAUAGUGUGAUUCUUUAUAGAACUCUGCCUCCUGGACUUCUCUGAAUCAAGCUGGGUUCACAGGGCUUCUGUGGCCAACCCUUGAACCUCUAGUUCCUUCACCAGACAGUGCGACAAGGGGCAGGUGGCUUCCUAGUAGUCCAGUGGGUGAUGACGAUGA